CUCAGAUUGAACGCUGGCGGCAGGCUUAACACAUGCAAGUCGAGCGGUAACAUUUCUAGCUUGCUAGAAGAUGACGAGCGGCGGACGGGUGAGUAAUGCUUGGGAAUAUGCCUUUACGUGGGGGACAACAGUUGGAAACGACUGCUAAUACCGCAUAAUGUCUUCGGACCAAAGGAGGGGACUCUUCGGAGCCUUUCGCGUAAAGAUUAGCGCAAGUGGGAUUAGCUAGUUGGUGCGGUAAUGGCUCACCAAGGCGACGAUCCCUAGCUGGUUUGAGAGGAUGAUCAGCCACACUGGGACUGAGACACGGCCCAGACUCCUACGGGAGGCAGCAGUGGGGAAUAUUGCACAAUGGGCGAAAGCCUGAUGCAGCCAUGCCGCGUGUGUGAAGAAGGCCUUCGGGUUGUAAAGCACUUUCAGUCGUGAGGAAGGGGUAGUAAUUAAUACUUGCUAUCUUUGACGUUAGCGACAGAAGAAGGACCGGCUAACUCCGUGCCAGCAGCCGCGGUAAUAC
rnacentral:rRNA from 1 species